AGAGUUUGAUCCUGGCUCAGAUUGAACGCUGGCGGCAGGCCUAACACAUGCAAGUCGAGCGGUAACAUUUCUAGCUUGCUAGAAGAUGACGAGCGGCGGACGGGUGAGUAAUACUUGGGGAUCUGCCUGAUGGCGGGGGACAACCACUGGAAACGGUGGCUAAUACCGCAUAAUGCCUACGGGCCAAAGUGUGGGACCUUCGGGCCACAUGCCAUCAGAUGAACCCAAGCGAGAUUAGCUAGUUGGUGAGGUAACGGCUCACCAAGGCGACGAUCUCUAGCUGUUCUGAGAGGAUGAUCAGCCACACUGGGACUGAGACACGGCCCAGACUCCUACGGGAGGCAGCAGUGGGGAAUAUUGGACAAUGGGCGCAAGCCUGAUCCAGCCAUGCCGCGUGUGUGAAGAAGGCCUUCGGGUUGUAAAGCACUUUCAGUGGUGAGGAAGGCGUUGUAGUUAAUAGCCUGCAACGAUUGACGUUAGCCACAGAAGAAGCACCGGCUAACUCCGUGCCAGCAGCCGCGGUUAAUUCCGGAGGGGUGCGAGCGUUUAUUCGGAAUUUCCUGGGCCGUAAAAGC
rnacentral:rRNA from 1 species